CGGGCUGUAGCGCAGCCUGGUUAGCGCACAUGUCUGGGGGGCAUGGUGUCGGCCGUUCAAAUCGGCUCAGCCCGA
rnacentral:tRNA from 1 species